rnacentral:rRNA from 1 species
AUUGAACGCUGGCGGCAGGCCUAACCCAUGCAAGUCGAGCGGAGCGGCGGACGGGUGAGUAAUGCCUAGGAAUCUGCCUGGUAGUGGGGGAUACCGUCAGGAAACGGGCGCUAAUACAGCAUACUAUCAGAUGAGACUAGGUCGGAUUAGCUAGUUGGUGGGUUAAAGGCUUACCAAGGCGACGAUCCGUAACUGGUCUGAGAGGAUGAUCAGUCACACUGGAAUUUAGACACGGUCCAGACUCCUACGGGAGGCAGCAGUGGGGAAUCUUGGACAAUGGGCGAAAGCCUGAUCCAGCCAUGCCGCGUGCGUGAAGAAGGUCUUCGGAUUGUAAAGCACUUUAAGUUGGGAGGCGUUACCAACAGAAUAAGCACCGGCUAACUUCGUGCCAGCAGCCGCGGUAAUUC